CAAUAGCGUAUAUUAAAGUUGUUGCAGUUAAAAAGCUCGUAGUUGGAUUUCUGGUUGAAGCGACCGGUCGGGCGUUGAUUCGUCUGCAUUGGAGUCGGUUUUGGCCAUCCUCUAGGAAAGUGCGUCUGGUAUUAAGUUAUCGGGCGUAUGAUCCUGGUCUUUUACUGUGAAAAAAUUAGAGUGUUUAAAGCAGGCCUUCGCCUUGAAUACAUUAGCAUGGAAUAAUAAGAUAGGACUUUGGUCUAUUUUGUUGGUUUGCAGACCGAAGUAAUGAUUAAUAGGGAUAGUUGGGGGUAUUUAUAUUCCGAUGUCAGAGGUGAAAUUCUUAGAUUUUCGGAAGAUAAACUUAUGCGAAAGCAUUUACCAAGGAUGUUUNCAUUAA
rnacentral:rRNA from 1 species